GACGAACGCUGGCGGCGUGCUUAACACAUGCAAGUCGAACGGAAAGGCCCUGCUUUUGUGGGGUGCUCGAGUGGCGAACGGGUGAGUAACACGUGAGUAACCUGCCCUUGACUUUGGGAUAACUUCAGGAAACUGGGGCUAAUACCGGAUAGGAGCUCCUGCUGCAUGGUGGGGGUUGGAAAGUUUCGGCGGUUGGGGAUGGACUCGCGGCUUAUCAGCUUGUUGGUGGGGUAGUGGCUUACCAAGGCUUUGACGGGUAGCCGGCCUGAGAGGGUGACCGGCCACAUUGGGACUGAGAUACGGCCCAGACUCCUACGGGAGGCAGCAGUGGGGAAUAUUGCACAAUGGGCGGAAGCCUGAUGCAGCAACGCCGCGUGCGGGAAGACGGCCUUCGGGUUGUAAACCGCUUACGCCUGUGACGAAGCGUGAGUGACGGUAAUGGGUAAAGAAGCACCGGCUAACUACGUG
rnacentral:rRNA from 1 species